rnacentral:rRNA from 1 species
UAGGGUUUGAUUCUGGCUCAGAGCGAACGCUGGCGGUAUGCUUAACACAUGCAAGUCGAACGAAGGCCCGGAGCUUGCUCCGGUCACCUUAGUGGCGGACGGGUGAGUAACGCGUGGGAAUCUACCCUAUGGUGGGGAAUAACUAUUGGAAACGAUAGCUAAUACCGCAUACGCUCUACGGAGGAAAGGCUUCGGCCGCCGUUGGAGGAUCCCGCGUUCGAUUAGCUUGUUGGUGAGGUAAUGGCUCACCAAGGCGACGAUCGAUAGCUGGUCUGAGAGGAUGAUCAGCCACACUGGAACUGAGACACGGUCCAGACUCCUACGGGAGGCAGCAGUGGGGAAUAUUGGACAAUGGGGGAAACCCUGAUCCAGCAAUGCCGCGUGAGUGAAGAAGGCCUUAGGGUUGUAAAACUCUUUCACCCGUGAAGAUGAUGACUGUAGCGGGAGAAGAAGCUCCGGCUAACUCCGUGCCAGCAGCCGCGGUAAUACA